rnacentral:rRNA from 1 species
CCUACGGGAGGCAGCAGUGGGGAAUAUUGGGCAAUGGAGGAAACUCUGACCCAGCGACGCCGCGUGCGGGAUGAAGGCCUUCGGGUUGUAAACCGCUUUCAGCAGGGAAGAAGCGAAAGUGACGGUACCUGCAGAAGAAGCACCGGCUAACUAUGUGCCAGCAGCCGCGGUAAUACAUAGGGUGCAAGCGUUGUCCGGAAUUAUUGGGCGUAAAGAGCUCGUAGGUGGUUCGUCACGUCGGAUGUGAAAAUCUGGGGCUUAACCCCAGACCUGCAUUCGAUACGGGCGAGCUUGAGUAUGGUAGGGGAGUCUGGAAUUCCUGGUGUAGCGGUGGAAUGCGCAGAUAUCAGGAGGAACACCAAUGGCGAAGGCAGGACUCUGGGCCAUUACUGACACUGAGGAGCGAAAGCGUGGGGAGCGAACAGGAUUAGAUACCCUGGUAGUCCACGCCGUAAACGGUGGGCACUAGUUGUGGGGACCUUCACGGUCUCUGCGACGCAGCUAACGCAUUAAGNGCCCCGCCUGGGGAUACGAUCGCAAGNUAAACUAAGAUUGAGCNGNGAGNGCGAGNGACGAGAGGAGAG